CAGAGGGGGCAAGCGUUAUUCGGAAUUAUUGGGCGUAAAGGGCGCGUAGGCGGCUUUGCAAGUGACGGGUGAAAUCCCUCGGCUUAACCGAGGAACUGCCUGUCAGACUGCAUGGCUUGAGACCAGGAGAGGUGAGUGGAAUUCCCAGUGUAGCGGUGAAAUGCGUAGAUAUUGGGAGGAACACCAGUGGCGAAGGCGGCUCACUGGACCGGUACUGACGCUGAGGCGCGAAAGCGUGGGUAGCAAACAGGAUUAGAUACCCUGGUAGUCCACGCCGUAAACGAUGAGUGCUUGGUGUAGCGGGUAUCGACCCCUGCUGUGCCGAAGUCAACACAUUAAGCACUCCGCCUGGGGAGUACGGUCGCAAGACUG
rnacentral:rRNA from 1 species